rnacentral:rRNA from 1 species
CGCGGCCUAUCAGCUUGUUGGCGGGGUAACGGCCCACCAAGGCGACGACGGGUAGCUGGUCUGAGAGGAUGGCCAGCCACAUUGGGACUGAGAUACGGCCCAGACUCCUACGGGAGGCAGCAGUGGGGAAUAUUGCGCAAUGGCCGCAAGGCUGACGCAGCGACGCCGGGUGUGGGAUGAAGGCCUUCGGGUUGUAAACCACUGUCAGGGGGGACGAAUACUCGACGUCGAAUAGGCGAUCGGGGAUGACGGUACCCCCAGAGGAAGCACCGGCUAACUCCGUGCCAGCAGCCGCGGUAAUACGGAGGGUGCAAGCGUUGUCCGGAAUCACUGGGCGUAAAGGGCGCGUAGGCGGCUCUGUAAGUCACCUGUGAAAUCCCGGGGCUCAACUCCGGGGCUGCAGGUGAGACUGCGGGGCUAGAGCGCGGGAGAGGCGAGCGGAAUUCCCGGUGUAGCGGUGGGAUGCGUAGAUAUCGGGAAGAACACCAGUGGCGAAGGCGGCUCGCUGGGCCGUUGCUGACGCUGAGGCGCGAAAGCGUGGGGAGCAAACAGGAUUAGAUACCCUGGUAGUCCACGCCGUAAACGAUGGGCACUAGGCGUCGGGGGGAGCGACCCCUUCGGUGCCGCAGCUAACGCAGUAAGUGCCCCGCCUGGGGAGUACGG